GACGAACCGAGCGAACGUUGUUCGGAAUCACUGGGCUUAAAGGGCGCGUAGGCGGGUGCUCAAGUCCGGGGUGAAAUCCUCCAGCUCAACUGGAGAAUUGCCUCGGAUACUGGGUGCCUCGAGGGUGGUAGGGGUAUGCGGAACUAUCGGUGGAGCGGUGAAAUGCGUUGAUAUCGAUAGGAACUCCGGUGGCGAAGGCGGCAUACUGGACCACAUCUGACGCUGAGGCGCGAAAGCCAGGGGAGCAAACGGG
rnacentral:rRNA from 1 species